UUAAAGCAAAGAUAUAAAGUCAGUUUGCAGUUAUAAUGGAAAUCAGAACGUAAGCGCAAACUGAAAUACGAAGUUCGUACGAUAAAAUUGAUUUGCGUCUUAAACCUCGAUUCGAAAAGCACUGAACUUUGAAACACGUUCGUAAAAACACAGAAGGCAGUAAGCUAUUGAGGAGGUUUGCAGUAAAGAUAAGAUGCUUAAAGUAAAUGCAAACCGAGAUUUAGAGUGGUUCGGUCAAUCUUGACCUACUCCACUUUUGGCUUCCUCCACCGACGAGGUCACCGACGUCAACUAGAG
rnacentral:lncRNA from 1 species